GGUUUGAUUCUGGCUCAGAUUGAACGCUGGCGGGAUGCUUUACACAUGCAAGUCGAACGGCAGCACGGACUUCGGUCUGGUGGCGAGUGGCGAAUGGGUGAGUAAUGUAUCGGAACGUGCCUAGUAGCGGGGGAUAACUACGCGAAAGCGUAGCUAAUGCCACAUACGCCCUUCGGGGGAAAGCGGGGGACCUUCGGGCCUCGCACUAAUGAAGCGGCCGAUAUCGGAUUAGCUAGUUGGUGAGGUAACGGCUCACAAGGCGACGAUCCGUAGCUGGUUUGAGAGGACGACCAGCCACACUGGGACUGAGACCGGCCCAGACUCCUGCAGGAGGCGGCAGUGGGGGAAUUUUGGACAAUGGAAACCCUGAUCCAGCCAUCCCGCGUGUGCGAUGAAGGCCUUCGAGUUGUAAAGCACUUUGGCAGGAAAGAAACGGCCUGGGAUAAUACCCCGUGCAACUGACAGUACCUGCAGAAUAAGCACCGGCUAACUACGUGCCAGCAGCCGCGGUAAUACGUAGGGUGCAAGCGUUAAUCGGAAUUACUGGGCGUAAAGCGUGCGCAGGCGGUUCGGAAAGAAAGAUGUGAAAUCCCAGAGCAACUUUGGAACUGCAUUUUUUAACUACCGAGCUAGAGUGUGUCGAGAGGUGGAAUUCCGCGUGUAGCAGUGAGAUGCAGAUAUGCGAGGAGGAACACCGAUGGCGAAGGCAACCUCCUGGGAUAACACUGACGCUCAUGCACGCUUGUGGGGAACAAACGGGAUUAGAUACCCUGUUGGUCUUGCCUAAAGCGAUGUCAACUAGCUGUUGGGGCCUUCGGGCCUUGGUAGCGCAGCUAACGCGUAGAAGUUGACCGCUAUACAGGAGUACGGUCGCAAGAUUAAAACUCAAAGGAAUUGACGGGGACCCGCACAAGCGGUGGAUGAUGUGGAUUAAUUCGAUGCAACGCGAAAAACCUUACCUGCCCUUGACAUGUCUGGAAUCCCGAAGAGAUUUUGGGGUGCUCGCAAGAACCGGAACACAGGUGCUGCAUGGCUGUCGUCAGCUCGUGUCGUGAGAUGUUGGGUUAAGUCCGCAACUUGAGCGCAACCCUUGUCAUUAGUUGCUACGAAAGGCACUCCUAAUGAGACUGCCGGUGACAAACCGGAGGAGGGUGGGGAUGACGUCAAGUCCUCAUGGCCCUUAUGGGUAGAGACUACACGUCAUACAAUGGUCAGGACGAAGGUCGCCAACCCGCGAAGGUAUCCGAAACCCGAUCCGUAGUCGGAUCGCAGUCUGCAACUCGACUGCGUGAAGUCGGAAUCGCUAGUAAUCGCGGAUCAGCAUGUCGCGGUGAAUACGUUCCGGGUCUUGUACACACCGCCCGUCACACCAUGGGAGUGGGUUUUACCAGAGAAAUAGUUAGCCUAACCGUAAGGAGGCGAUUACCACGGUAGGAUUCAUGACUGGGUUGAAGUCGUAACUAAAGAUAG
rnacentral:rRNA from 1 species